rnacentral:rRNA from 1 species
UACGUAGGGUGCAAGCGUUGUCCGGAAUUAUUGGGCGUAAAGAGCUCGUAGGCGGUCUGUCACGUCGGCUGUGAAAUCCCGAGGCUCAACCUCGGGUCUGCAGUCGAUACGGGCAAACUAGAGUAUUGCAGGGGAGACUGGAAUUCCUGGUGUAGCGGUGAAAUGCGCAGAUAUCAGGAGGAACACCGGCGGCGGAAGGCGGGUCUCUGGGCAAUAACUGACGCUGAGGAGCGAAAGCGUGGGGAGCGAACAGG